UUAUCAGCUCAGUACUAGUGCUGCUAAAGCUAGCUGAGCUGCACCCGAGUAUCCAAGCAAGAUCAGCGGCAGCUAAAAAGUAGAGAGCACUAGCAAAUACGCAGCUUGGUGUCGUAGUGCAGUGUCGGUGCUUUGUUGGUGCUGUGUUGUCUCCUCCUCCAAUUCGAUCGAUCAUGGCGGCCAACUACCACCACUAUCAGAUGGCCGUGGCGGCGGCGGCGGCGGCGUGGAGGGAGCCGGACAGCCCGCAGCUGAGCUUCGUGAGCGGCUGCAGCUCCCUCUUCUCCAUCUCCACGCUGCAGGACGACGACGACGGCGCCGUCGUCAUCGCCGGCCACGCCCUGCCCUCCACGCCCGUCUCGCUCGCCGGGUUCGCCGGCGACGAGGUCGACAUGGAGGUGCAGCAGGUCAGCGGCGGCAGCGGCGACGACCGGAGGACCAUCAGGAUGAUGAGGAACCGGGAGUCCGCGCUCCGAUCCAGAGCCAGGAAGAGGGCAUACGUUGAAAAUCUGGAGAAAGAGGUUCGCCGGCUGGUGGAUGAGAACUUGAAGCUCAAGAAGCAGUGCAAAGAGCUGAAACUUGAAGUGGCUGCACUGGUCCUCCCUACCAAGAGUUCGCUCCGAAGAACCUCAUCGACGCAAUUCUGAAGGGAUAAAAAAACUUGAACACAUUUUAUUUGGUAGUACAAAACUAAGAGAAGGAAUGAUUGGGCUUGUGUGUACAUGUCAGUGUGUGUUGUGUGCCUUAGGGAAGGGGAGAAAGAUGGAUAAUUGGAUAUGCAAUGAUCUGUACCCUUGACGAUAGACCUCUGCAAAGAUGAAGGUUUACCCUUUGUACCUGGAGCCCAGCCAGGUGUAGAUGCCCUGCCGCACAGACGCUGUGCACCAUUUCAAUGCACCAGCCAUUCAGAUACAUCUCAAAAAGCAGCAUCAACAUCCUUCAAAGUCCGACUGUCAAACUGAAGAUGCUACAGGUCCACCGUGUCCGUGAACAAAAUCAACAUUUUCUGACAAACCACACAGGUGGAUGAAAUGUAUGAUAAUAUCUUGAAUGAUUGACUUACAACUGAUAAACAAUGCACUGCAAAAGAGGUUAAACAGCAUUACCGAAUUACUAUAACUUUGUCUAAAUAGUCUCACAUAAGACCGGCCCAUAACCUUAAUAAACAAGACUUUUACAAAUCUGCCCAUCUUCUACUUAGCUAAGUCCAUGUUGUCCUGAUCUAGAGCUCUGAAACUAGUUCCUUCUGCACUGGUUCCUUGGGCCUCAGAUUCCUGGUGCUUCUGUUCACUAUCACAGGCCUGGUCGUUUCAGGUGACCACGUGUAGCUGCGCAUAACAAAACAGCUGACAUUUAGUAAGCCGUGAAGUCGAGCAGGACCGAGGCCGGCGUCGCGUCCGGGCCUUCGCCGUGGAUUGGCGGAUGCAGGGAGGCGUCCGCCACCAGGCUCCGGUCAUAGUCAUCGUCGUAGGAGACGCAGCUGGCGCCGGCGAGGCGGGUCUCCUGAGGAGGACCUCUCGGUACGACGGACGCGGACGGACGCGGUGGUGAAGCGCAGUCGGACACAGCG